GAGAAUGAACAGCCUUCCCUCGUUUGGUUUGACAGAGGAAAGUUUUAUUUGACUUUUGAAGGAUUUGUAAAUCAUAGCAUUUCUGCCGAUUUGACAUAUAAUUUCAAACUUCCUGAGAAAAGAAUGGAGAAGCUGAGAAUUCCAGGGGGGAACUGCUUCAUCUUUGGAUGGUUCUGAGCCUUCAACAUGCAAUCGCUGGCUGAUGACCUCUAUAGCAUGUUUCUAUUAUGUCUUUUGAGAAGAGCUGUCCACAGACUUUGGCUGCCUACCCUAUUUCAAAAUACUCUUCUUAUUAACCUCGGACAUAAAUGAAUGAAGAAAG
rnacentral:sRNA from 1 species